UGGGGAAUAUUGCACAAUGGGCGAAAGCCUGAUGCAGCAACGCCGCGUGAGUGAUGAAGGCCUUCGGGUUGUAAAACUCUGUCUUCUGGGACGAUAAUGACGGUACCAGAGGAGGAAGCCACGGCUAACUACGUGCCAGCAGCCGCGGUAAUACGUAGGUGGCAAGCGUUGUCCGGAUUUACUGGGCGUAAAGAAUGCGUAGGCGGAUAUCUAAGUCAGAUGUGAAAUACCCGGGCUUAACUUGGGUGCUGCAUUUGAAACUGGAUAUCUAGAGUGCGGGAGAGGAGAGUGGAAUUCCUAGUGUGGCGGUGAAAUGCGUAGAGAUUAGGAAGAACACCAGUGGCGAAGGCGACUCUCUGGACCGUAACUGAUGCUGAGGCAUGAAAGCGUGGGGGGCAAACA
rnacentral:rRNA from 1 species